GCCUGGCUGGCUCAGUGGAGUGUGUGGCUCUUAAUCUUGGGGUUGUGGGUUCGAGCCCCAUGUUGGGUG
rnacentral:tRNA from 1 species